rnacentral:rRNA from 1 species
CUGGAGGCAGCAGUGGGGAAUAUUGGGCAAUGGGCGCAAGCCUGACCCAGCAACGCCGCGUGAGGGAAGAAGGUCUUCGGAUUGUAAACCUCUGUCCUUGGGGACGAAAAAAAUGACGGUACCCAAGGAGGAAGCUCCGGCUAACUACGUGCCAGCAGCCGCGGUAAUACGUAGGGAGCGAGCGUUGUCCGGAAUUACUGGGCGUAAAGGGUGCGUAGGCGGCGCUGUAAGUCAGGUGUGAAAUCCCCGGGCUUAACCCGGGUCCUGCAUUUGAAACUGCAGUGCUUGAGUGCAGGAGAGGAAAGCGGAAUUCCUAGUGUAGCGGUGAAAUGCGUGGAUAUUAGGAAGAACACCAGUGGCGAAGGCGGCUUUCUGGACUGUAACUGACGCUGAGGCACGAAAGCGUGGGGAGCAAACAGGAUUAGAUACCCCUGUAGUCCC